UAGGGUUUGGGUGGAAGACAU
rnacentral:siRNA from 1 species